GCUGAGGCGUGAUGACGAGGCACUACGGUGCUGAAGCAACAAAUGCCCUGCUUCCAGGAAAAGCCUCUAAGCAUCAGGUAACAUCAAAUCGUACCCCAAACCGACACAGGUGGUCAGGUAGAGAAUACCAAGGCGCUUGAGAGAACUCGGGUGAAGGAACUAGGCAAAAUGGUGCCGUAACUUCGGGAGAAGGCACGCUGAUAUGUAGGUGAAGUCCCUCGCGGAUGGAGCUGAAAUCAGUCGAAGAUACCAGCUGGCUGCAACUGUUUAUUAAAAACACAGCACUGUGCAAACACGAAAGUGGACGUAUACGGUGUGACGCCUGCCCGGUGCCGGAAGGUUAAUUGAUGGGGUCAGCGCAAGCGAAGCUCUUGAUCGAAGCCCCGGUAAACGGCGGCCGUAACUAUAACGGUCCUAAGGUAGCGAAAUUCCUUGUCGGGUAAGUUCCGACCUGCACGAAUGGCGUAAUGAUGGCCAGGCUGUCUCCACCCGAGACUCAGUGAAAUUGAACUCGCUGUGAAGAUGCAGUGUACCCGCGGCAAGACGGAAAGACCCCGUGAACCUUUACUAUAGCUUGACACUGAACAUUGAGCCUUGAUGUGUAGGAUAGGUGGGAGGCUUUGAAGUGUGGACGCCAGUCUGCAUGGAGCCGACCUUGAAAUACCACCCUUUAAUGUUUGAUGUUCUAACGUGGACCCGUGAUCCGGGUUGCGGACAGUGUCUGGUGGGUAGUUUGACUGGGGCGGUCUCCUCCUAAAGAGUAACGGAGGAGCACGAAGGUUGGCUAAUCCUGGUCGGACAUCAGGAGGUUAGUGCAAUGGCAUAAGCCAGCUUGACUGCGAGCGUGACGGCGCGAGCAGGUGCGAAAGCAGGUCAUAGUGAUCCGGUGGUUCUGAAUGGAAGGGCCAUCGCUCAACGGAUAAAAGGUACUCCGGGGAUAACAGGCUGAUACCGCCCAAGAGUUCAUAUCGACGGCGGUGUUUGGCACCUCGAUGUCGGCUCAUCACAUCCUGGGGCUGAAGUAGGUCCCAAGGGUAUGGCUGUUCGCCAUUUAAAGUGGUACGCGAGCUGGGUUUAGAACGUCGUGAGACAGUUCGGUCCCUAUCUGCCGUGGGCGCUGGAGAACUGAGGGGGGCUGCUCCUAGUACGAGAGGACCGGAGUGGACGCAUCACUGGUGUUCGGGUUGUCAUGCCAAUGGCACUGCCCGGUAGCUAAAUGCGGAAGAGAUAAGUGCUGAAAGCAUCUAAGCACGAAACUUGCCCCGAGAUGAGUUCUCCCUGACCCUUUAAGGGUCCUGAAGGAACGUUGAAGACGACGACGUUGAUAGGCCGGGUGUGUAAGCGCAGCGAUGCGUUGAGCUAACCGGUACUAAUGAACCGUGAGGCUUAACCUUACAACGCCGAAGGUGUUU
rnacentral:rRNA from 2 species